CAAAUAUAUAGUCAAACCUUGAAAUUUAUGAAUUAUUUCGAGUGUUUGGAUUAGAUUCGUAGAAACAGUUGACCUUGAAAUUGUAUUUAUGUUGUGACCUUAUCUCAUACACAAUUGGCUUUCUUUAUAAUACGAUUUGGAAUUAGCAGUGGCAUUGAUAAAAGUGUUCAAAUCACCUUUAAUUUAAUCAAUCUACUUACCAGAUUAACUUUAUCUUUCUCAUUCAAUUAAUUCAAGCUUCAGAUAUAGUUGCUUUUACCAUUGCUCUUGAAAAAUAAUUAAGGCUUUAUUUAAAGAUGAAAUAUUUUAGUUCAAUUUCUCAAUUACACAACUGAAGAAUAGGUUACUCAAUGGAUUGUAAGGAAUUAAUUGUGAUGUAAGAUCAGUCAAGUUUUUUAUCAACCAGUUUGAAGGAAAUUAUACCAUAAAGCUAAAAACAAGACUGAACCAUGUUUCCAAGGUGUAUAUCAUCUUUAUGGCAUAUAGACAGAUUCACAUGUAAACAUGUGAGACAGAUUUGUACUCUAUUGAGUUGAUAAUUCUCAAUGUAUAUAUCUUAGACAGUAAUUCUCCGUUAAAUUGGUUGAAAAAAAAAAAAAAAAAAAA